AGGCUAUCCCAACUAACGGCGGGAAAGACUCCCCGGAGGGUGUAAGACCCGUGUGGGCGCGUGUUAAAGCUGUGUGGGCUCGGCCUCUCUUCCCUGAGAGUCGCGUUGCUUGAGCAUGCAGCGCUAAUCAGGUCGUAAACUCGAUCUAAGGCUAAAUAUCUCCACAGAACCGAUAGCGAACAAGUACCGUGAGGGAAAGUUGAAAAGCACUCUGGAGAGAGAGUCAAAAGACCGUGAAACCGCUCAGAGUA
rnacentral:rRNA from 1 species